rnacentral:rRNA from 1 species
ACGGGUGAGUAAUAUAUCGGAACGUGCCCAGUCGUGGGGGAUAACGUAGAGAAAUUUACGCUAAUACCGCAUACGAUCUAAGGAUGAAAGCGGGGGAUCGCAAGACCUCGCGCGAUUGGAGCGGCUGAUAUCAGAUUAGGUUGUCGGUGAGGUAAAAGCUCACCAAGCCGACGAUCUGUAGCUGGUUUGAGAGAACGACCAGCCGCACUGGGACUGAGACACGGCCCAGACUCCUACGGGAGGCAGCAGUGGGGAAUUUUGGACAAUGGGCGAAAGCCUGAUCCAGCAAUGCCGCGUGCAGGAAGAAGGCCUUCGGGUUGUAAACUGCUUUUGUACGGAACGAAACGGCUCUUUCUAAUAAAGAGGGCUAAUGACGGUACCGUAAGAAUAAGCACCGGCUAACUACGUGCCAGCAGCCGCGGUAAUACGUAGGGUGCGAGCGUUAAUCGGAAUUACUGGGCGUAAAGCGUGCGCAGGCGGUUAUAUAAGACAGUUGUGAAAUCCCCGGGCUCAACCUGGGAAUUGCAUCUGUGACUGUAUAGCUAGAGUACGGUAGAGGGGGAUGGAAUUCCGCGUGUAGCAGUG